AAGGUUUUAAGUUAAUAAAACUUAUAAUUUUCAAAAUUAUCAUUAAAGAAAUUCUUUAAGCCUUA
rnacentral:tRNA from 1 species